rnacentral:rRNA from 1 species
CCAAUAGCGUAUAUUAAAGUUGUUGCAGUUAAAAAGCUCGUAGUUGAAUUUCGGGAUCAAGGAAUCGGUCAUGCCUCGGUAUGUACUGGUUUUAUUGGUUCUCACCUUCUAAAGAACCAUGAUGUCAUUCAUUUGAUGUUAUGGGGAAUUAGGACUGUUACCUUGAAAAAAUUAGAGUGUUUAAAGCAGGCUUACGCUUGAAUACAUUAGCAUGGAAUAAUGAAAUAGGACAUCAGAUUCUAUUUAGUUGGUUUCUAGGAUCGAUGUAAUGAUUAAUAGGGAUAGUUGGGGGCAUUAGUAUUCAAUUGUCAGAGGUGAAAUUCUUGGAUUUAUUGAAGACUAACUACUGCGAAAGCAUUUGCCAAGGAUGUUUUCAUUAAUCAAGAACGAAAGUUAGGGGAUCGAAGACGAUCAGAUACCGUCGUAGUCUUAACCAUAAACUAUGCCGACUAGGGAUCGGAUGAUGUUUAUUUUUUAGUGACUCAUUCGGCACCUUACG